rnacentral:rRNA from 1 species
CCUACGGGGGGCAGCAGUGGGGAAUAUUGCACAAUGGGCGCAAGCCUGAUGCAGCGACGCCGCGUGAGGGAUGACGGCCUUCGGGUUGUAAACCUCUUUCAGCUCCGACGAAGCGCAAGUGACGGUAGGAGCAGAAGAAGCACCGGCCAACUACGUGCUAGCAGCCGCGGUAAUACGUAGGGUGCAAGCGUUGUCCGGAAUUACUGGGCGUAAAGAGCUCGUAGGCGGUUUGUCGCGUCGUCUGUGAAAUUCUGCAGCUUAACUGCAGGCGUGCAGGCGAUACGGGGCAGACUCGAGUACUACAGGGGAGACUGGAAUUCCUGGUGUAGCGGUGAAAUGCGCAGAUAUCAGGAGGAACACCGGUGGCGAAGGCGGGUCUCUGGGUAGUAACUGACGCUGAGGAGCGAAAGCGUGGGUAGCGAACAGGAUUAGAUACCCGGGUAGUC